AAGAUUUUCAAUAAGCGGGAUCCAAAAAUCAUUAUUGUAGCUGGAAAAUCAUUGAGGAGGCAAAACACUUAACCAAAUUUCUAGUUUGUCCGCCAAAUUAAAACUUAGCUCAUCUUUUUUUCCUCUAAGAACAACAUUUAUACAAAAAAAAGAAAAUUCAAUUCAUUUAUCCCUAAUCUAAAUCAAAGAAAAGUUCCCCUCUUCUCUCCACUUCUCCUCUCUCUCCGAUCUCUACUCUCCCUCUCAGUCCCAGUCUCCGUCUCUCCACGUCCGCUCGUCGGCAAUUUCUCUUCCUUCGCCGCCACCACUUUCUCCUCCAUCAUCUCAGCCGCCGUCACCGGAGGUGGCCAUUCACGGGGUUGCCAAACUGAGUCUCAUGACCAGAAACUCGCCAAAUCCUUGACCUUUCCUCACUUAAUCACAAUUGGUGUUGGAUCAAAAAUUGGAGCAGGGGUUUAUAUUCUUGUGGGAACAGUGGCGAGAGAGCAUUCAAGACCUGCUCUAGCCUUUUCAUUCUUUAUAGCUGGUGUUUUUAUAGCACUCUCUAGUCUUUUUCCUUCAGCUGGAAGUGCCUAUCACUAUACUCUUACAUUUGCAUUGGUGAAGGAGUUGCGUGGUUAAUUGGCUGACACUGAUUCUGGAAUACACUCUUGGUGGUUCAACUGUUGCUCGUGGCAUAUCUCUAGAUCUGGUAUUAUGAUGCCCUUUGACUAAUAUAUUCUGCAAACGGUUAUGAUGGAUUUCUCUUAUUUUCUUGGGCAGAUUAGUACCUGCAAUGGCUUUUACUGUUACCAAUUCACACCUAAUUCGCCAGACAAACCCAAGAUUUGGACUGAGAACUGGCCUAGAUGGUAAGUAGAUUGGUCUUUGGUUCCGCUAACAUUUCCUUGAAUUCAGUUUCCAUACAAAGUUGGAGUCUUUUGGAGAUUCUUGUUCAUUAGCAGGUGAAUCUGAUUUUUGCGGUCUGAAAAGACUUGUUCUUUUCUUCUACGUUUAAAACUUUUGGAGGCAGAGACCCUCACAGACCAGCAGACGAGGAAGUUAGUUAGCUCUGUAUCAUUUUGUAAUCUAAAUGGAUUUUGGUUGUAUGUUAGUAUCACGGAGGAACGAAUUUUGGACGUACUUCAGGAGGACCUUUUAUCACUACGAGCUAUGACUAUGAAGCUCCGAUUGAUGAGUAUGGUGAGUUUGUACUUUGUAAAAAAGAAGAUCACUAUGUAAUGAGAUUACUAUGUAAAGAAGAUCACUUUAUUAUAUUUAGCAUUUUGCAACUUUUUA